rnacentral:pre_miRNA from 1 species
AGCUGAAUUGCUGGGCAAGUUCUCCUUGGGCAGAUGCCGCCGCCGUUCAGCACUGGGGCUUUACCGGGCUGCUGCCAAAGGAAAUUUGCCCCGGAAUUCAUCU